UACGAAGGGGGCUAGCGUUGCUCGGAAUCACUGGGCGUAAAGGGUGCGUAGGCGGGUCUUUUAAGUCAGGGGUGAAAUCCUGGAGCUCAACUCCAGAACUGCCUUUGAUACUGAAGAUCUUGAGUCCGGGAGAGGUGAGUGGAACUGCGAGUGUAGAGGUGAAAUUCGUAGAUAUUCGCAAGAACACCAGUGGCGAAGGCGGCUCACUGGUCCGGUACUGACGCUGAGGUGCGAAAGCGUGGGGAGCAAACAGGAUUAAGAA
rnacentral:rRNA from 1 species